CAGAUUAUAGUUUAUACAAAAUAAUUACUUUGGGAGUAAUUGAACAAUUACUUGUAAUCUGA
rnacentral:tRNA from 1 species